GAUCUUAUUCAACAUCAACUGAAGUCCAUGAAGAAGUCUUGCCAUUAACAACACUGGAUUGGCCCCAUAAAACCUAGUGGUAGUUCAUAACAUUGUCCUUCUCCCAGAAAGAAAAGGUUUGAUUCGCGGAUCUAGAACGGAAAGGACGUGAAUCAGAACACACCACUUCUGCCGGACUUGUUUACUCCAUGCGAAGCCCCGGGUUACAUCUCAAAUGUCAAUAUGCGGAAAAAGCUGCACAAUAGAUAUCACCUUUUACACGUGUCAUUUGUACAUUCGUGGCACAAUACAUUGUGGAGCCAGAACCUACAGUAACAGUGCAUGGGAGUUACACAGGGUCAGCCUGUGCUCUCGCAGAACCUCGUGACUCAACCAGCAAAAUAAGCAAAGCAAACUCCUCUCUUGGGUUUAGAGGAUAUUUGGGGAAACAGCUUUGAAGUAUUGCCUCAGCUCUGCUACCAAGGUUUGUCCAACACUGCUCAUGCCCUCCCCUUGCAUCCUCAACAAGCAAGGUGGUGGUUUUCAAUGGAGCUAUACAGAUUUAGGCACCCACAUCCCAUUGAAAUCCAUAGUUAUUUGGCAACUGUGCUCCCUCUGGCUCCUUGGAAAAUCCCAGAUUAGUAUGUGUAACUGUCCUAAAUGCUCCUCUUAAUUCAUGGCAAGGGUUGGAAAGGGUUCAGACUGUAGCGGCUUGGCCUGGCUUGCGUUCUACAUUAGCAGCAAAUAUUGCUAGGAGGAAGGAUGCGCGCUGAAUAGCUGGUGUCCGAAUUGACUCCAGUCUAAGCACUAAAAGCUUCUGCUCUUUGUCUCCCCAGGUAAUAAGUUAAAGAGAGUUGGGAAGCUUCUCUUGGGGGAAGGGGGAUUUCUUACAUUCACAGGCAUUUUUCAGGGAUGGAAAUAGGGCUCUCAAUCAUCUACU